UAGGGAAUAUUGGUAAUGUGCGAAAGCGCGAACCAGCAACGCCGCGUGCACGAUGAAGGCCUUCGGGUCGUAAAGUGCUUUUAGAGAGGAUGAGGAAGGACAGUACUUUCUGAAUAAGCCUCGGCUAACUACGUGCCAGCAGCCGCGGUAAAACGUAGGAGGCAAGCGUUAUCCGGAUUUACUGGGCGUAAAGCGCAUGCAGGUGGUUUUGUAAGUUGGAUGUGAAAGCUCCUGGCUUAACUGGGAGAGGUCGUUCAAAACUACAAGACUUGAGAUUGGUAGAGGAUAAUGGAAUUCCUGGUGUAGUGGUGAAAUGCGUAGAUAUCCGGAGGAACACCAGUGGCGAAAGCGGUUUUCUGGACCAAUUCUGACACUCAGAUGCGAAAGCUAAGGUAGCAAACG
rnacentral:rRNA from 1 species